rfam:Triticum aestivum genome assembly, contig: Triticum_aestivum_CS42_TGACv1_scaffold_577078_7BL
UCCGAAAAUACUUGUCAUCAAAAUGGAUAAAAAGAGAUGUAUCUAGAACUAAAAUAUGUCUAGAUAGAUUCUCUUUUAUUCAUUUUGAUGACAAGUAUUUCCGGA